rnacentral:tRNA from 1 species
CUGAUUUUAUUUUAUGAUUUGAAAUCAUUUUUUAAGUAUAAUAAAUGUACUUGUCAGUCUAU